rnacentral:tRNA from 1 species
GGGGGUAUAGCUCAGUGGUACAGUAUUCGACAGCAGAUCGAGAGGUCCCUGGUUCAAACCCUGAUGCUCCCU